UGGGGAAUAUUGCACAAUGGGCGCAAGCCUGAUGCAGCCAUGCCGCGUGUAUGAAGAAGGCCUUCGGGUUGUAAAGUACUUUCAGCGGGGAGGAAGGGAGUAAAGUUAAUACCUUUGCUCAUUGACGUUACCCGCAGAAGAAGCACCGGCUAACUCCGUGCCAGCAGCCGCGGUAAUACGGAGGGUGCAAGCGUUAAUCGGAAUUACUGGGCGUAAAGCGCACGCAGGCGGUUUGUUAAGUCAGAUGUGAAAUCCCCGGGCUCAACCUGGGAACUGCAUCUGAUACUGGCAACCUUGAGUCUCGUAGAGGGGGGUAGAAUUCCAGGUGUGGCGGUGAAAUGCGUAGGGAUCUGGAGGAAUACCGGUGGCGAAAGCGGCCCCCUGGACGAAGACUGACGCUCAGGUGCGAAAGCGUGGGGAGCAAACAGG
rnacentral:rRNA from 1 species